UGUGGGGGGACAUUCCACGUUUUCCGCGCCGUAGCUAACGCAUUAAGUGCCCCGCCUGGGGAGUACGGCCGCAAGGCUAAAACUCAAAGGAAUUGACGGGGGCCCGCACAAGCGGCGGAGCAUGCGGAUUAAUUCGAUGCAACGCGAAGAACCUUACCAAGGCUUGACAUGAACCGGAAAGACCUGGAAACAGGUGCCCCGCUUGCGGUCGGUUUACAGGUGGUGCAUGGUUGUCGUCAGCUCGUGUCGUGAGAUGUUGGGUUAAGUCCCGCAACGAGCGCAACCCUCGUUCUAUGUUGCCAGCGGUUCGGCCGGGGACUCAUAGGAGACUGCCGGGGUCAACUCGGA
rnacentral:rRNA from 1 species